CUGAACUUACUGCAAAGAGCUUAGAUGGUGGACAUGGGGAAGAGAGUGGACGAAUAACAGGCUCAUUUUACAAGGAGUCUUCCCGUGUAGCUUGACUCAUUGCUCCUUAGGACAGUACAGUUGCUAGAAUUUCAGAUUCUGAAUCACUCGAUGCUCUGUAGCCAAAAUGGGGCUUCUUGCCACUUUAAAUCUCUUCUCUGUACUACCGGUCUGCUGAGGGCUGUGUUCUAGCAGCUAGGUAAUUUGUACCCAGAAAGCCUUCCUCCGGUGAGUGAUACAGAUGUCCCAGGGUGCUCGUAUGGCCUCAACAGACUGAGACUGACGCCCGGGCCCUGUUUGUCUGUCCGCACUAUCUACAUGAUGAAGCUUUAGUGACUUUCUUCCCAGACCUCCCUAUGGCAUUUGAAAUUCACAGGGUGCAGCCAGAAGUUGCAAAGCUGAAACAGUGAUGGUGGGCCCUGCGAAGAAAGGCAUGAUGGGAAACUGCCCGAGCAACACAGGGGCCCUAGGAGCCGCGCCUUGCCAACAGUCUUGUCUGAUGCUCCAUGCUCCAAACGAACGGAAAGAUUAAGUGAAGACCAGUCAAGAUGACAUGCUGCUGCCUUUGCCUGCCUAUAAAAUGGAUAAAGACACUGAUGUUCCUGUUACUAGGAGACUAGACAACCUUCUCGAAGUCAAACAUUCCCAAAGACCCAGGAGUCAUCUGUGUGACCUUGAAACCAUCUAUCUUCGAAGAAAGCAGGAAGUGGAUGAUGCCAUGGCAACAGAUAAUGGAAACCAUCGAGGAAAGAAGCUAACGGACAAGGCUACUCCCAGUGAGUACUUAACCAGUAUGCCUACAUAUGGUCAGUUGAGAUCUGUUCUGAUCGGUUGAUUUCAAUCUUCUCCUGCCCAUUAAAC
rnacentral:lncRNA from 1 species